GAUGAACGCUGGCGGCGUGCUUAACACAUGCAAGUCGAGCGAAGCAUUUGCGACAGAUUUUUUCGGAAUGAAGUUGCUUAUGACUGAGUGGCGGACGGGUGAGUAACGCGUGGGUAACCUGCCUUGUACUGGGGGAUAGCAGCUGGAAACGGCUGGUAAUACCGCAUAAGCGCACAAUGUUGCAUGACAUGGUGUGAAAAACUCCGGUGGUAUAAGAUGGACCCGCGUCUGAUUAGCUAGUUGGUGAGAUAACAGCCCACCAAGGCGACGAUCAGUAGCCGACCUGAGAGGGUGACCGGCCACAUUGGGACUGAGACACGGCCCAGACUCCUACGGGAGGCAGCAGUGGGGAAUAUUGCACAAUGGAGGAAACUCUGAUGCAGCGACGCCGCGUGAGUGAAGAAGUAAUUCGUUAUGUAAAGCUCUAUCAGCAGGGAAGAUAGUGACGGUACCUGACUAAGAAGCUCCGGCUAAAUACGUG
rnacentral:rRNA from 1 species